CCUACGGGGGGCUGCAGUGAGGAAUAUUGGUCAAUGGGCGCGAGCCUGAACCAGCCAAGUCGCGUGAAGGAUGACGGUCCUAUGGAUUGUAAACUUCUUUUGUGCAGGAAUAAAGUGAGGAACGUGUUCCUUUUUGUAUGUACUGUACGAAUAAGCAUCGGCUAACUCCGUGCCAGCAGCCGCGGUAAUACGGAGGAUGCGGGCGUUAUCGGGUUUUAAGGGGUCGAAAGGGUGCGUAUGCGGCAGGAGAGAAAGUUUGCAGCUUAACUGUAAAAUUGCCAUUGAAACUGUUAGUCUUGAGUGCAAAUGAGGUAGGCGGAAUGUGUUGUGUAGCGGUGAAAUGCUUAGAUAUAACACAGAACUCCGAUUGCGAAGGCAGCUUACUGGGAUGCAACUGACGCUGAUGCACGAAAGCGUGGGUAUCAAACAGGAUUAGAUACCCUUGUAGUC
rnacentral:rRNA from 1 species